rnacentral:rRNA from 1 species
CGAGUGGCGAACGGGUGAGUAACGCGUGAGGAACCUGCCUCAUACAGGGGGAUAACAGUUGGAAACGGCUGCUAAUACCGCAUAAGCGCACGGUACCGCAUGGUACGGUGUGAAAAACUCCGGUGGUAUGAGAUGGACCCGCGUCUGAUUAGGUAGUUGGUGGGGUAACGGCCUACCAAGCCGACGAUCAGUAGCCGACCUGAGAGGGUGACCGGCCACAUUGGGACUGAGACACGGCCCAA